rnacentral:rRNA from 1 species
GACGAACGCUGGCGGCGUGCUUAACACAUGCAAGUCGAACGGAAAGGCCCUGCUUUUGUGGGGUGCUCGAGUGGCGAACGGGUGAGUAACACGUGAGUAACCUGCCCUUGACUUUGGGAUAACUUCAGGAAACUGGGGCUAAUACCGGAUAGGAGCUCCUGCUGCAUGGUGGGGGUUGGAAAGUUUCGGCGGUUGGGGAUGGACUCGCGGCUUAUCAGCUUGUUGGUGGGGUAGUGGCUUACCAAGGCUUUGACGGGUAGCCGGCCUGAGAGGGUGACCGGCCCACAUUGGAACGAGGUUACGGCCAGACUCCUUACGGGGGGAAGCGUGGGGAAUAUUGCACAAUGGGCGGAAGCCUGAUGCAGCAACGCCGCGUGCGGGAUGACGGCCUUCGGGUUGUAAACCGCUUUCGCCUGUGACGAAGCGUGAGUGACGGUAAUGGGUAAAGAAGCACCGGCUAACUACGUG